rnacentral:rRNA from 1 species
GACGAACGCUGGCGGCGUGCUUAACACAUGCAAGUCGAACGAAGAGCGAUGGAAGCUUGCUUCUAUCAAUCUUAGUGGCGAACGGGUGAGUAACGCGUAAUCAACCUGCCCUUCAGAGGGGGACAACAGUUGGAAACGACUGCUAAUACCGCAUACGAUCUGACCUCGGCAUCGAGGAUAGAUGAAAGGUGGCCUCUACAUGUAAGCUAUCACUGAAGGAGGGGAUUGCGUCUGAUUAGCUAGUUGGAGGGGUAACGGCCCACCAAGGCGAUGAUCAGUAGCAGGUCUGAGAGGAUGAACGGCCACAUUGGGACUGAGACACGGCCCAGGCUCCUACGGGAGGCAGCAGUGGGGAAUCUUCCGCAAUGGACGAAAGUCUGACGGAGCAACGCCGCGUGAGUGAUGACGGCCUUCGGGUUGUAAAGCUCUGUUAAUCGGGACGAAAGGCCUUUUUGCGAAUAGUGAGAAGGAUUGACGGUACCGGAAUAGAAAGCCACGGCUAACUACGUG